UAUGGAGGAUUCUUCAAUGGGAGGUUCUCUGCCGUGAGUUCUCUCCAUGUCUCUAGGUUGUCUGUUGGAGUGCUGAUCUUUUGACUAGUGAAAAUAAUCAUUUCAAGGCACUACAAAAAAUCUGAUUUUCUGCGAUGAAAUUUUAACGAUGAAAAAAUUUUUCAUCACAAAUAAGUAUAUUUUUGCAAUGAAAAAAAAUUUUGUUGUCAAAAAUUAAGUAUUU
rnacentral:lncRNA from 1 species